rnacentral:rRNA from 1 species
UACAGAGGGUGCGAGCGUUAAUCGGAUUUACUGGGCGUAAAGCGUGCGUAGGCGGCUUUUUAAGUCGGAUGUGAAAUCCCUGAGCUUAACUUAGGAAUUGCAUUCGAUACUGGAGGGCUAGAGUAUGGGAGAGGAUGGUAGAAUUCCAGGUGUAGCGGUGAAAUGCGUAGAGAUCUGGAGGAAUACCGAUGGCGAAGGCAGCCAUCUGGCCUAAUACUGACGCUGAGGUACGAAAGCAUGGGGAGCAAACAGG